AGCAGCACGACAUUAAAGCAUGGCAUUCUCUCUCCACACCUGGAAUAGCAGGCGAUGCUGGUGCAGAUGACGGUGUUGAACACAGCGAUGGGGACGUAGCACUGAUGGAAGACGCCGUUCACCCACUUAUCCGGGAAAACUGGACCACAUGUACUCACCCAGGCUGUAGAAACUGAGGGCGCCGUAGUCGAAGAAGAAGCAGAUGUGGCGUGCCCGCGCCGACAUGCUGCUGAAGGUGUGAGCGCAGCUGGACGCCAGCGGAUAAAUACAGCAGGAGAGCAGGAACGUGAGCAGAGGCCAGGUGAAGGAGUCCUGCCAUGCUGUCUGAAUCAGGACCACCGACACUAGUUUCCAUAGGAAGUACCUGGAACAGGAGCAGAACUCCUCCACGUUGUACUACGAGCUGCGAUCACAACAGCUCAGGUGAGGAAGACAUUCAUGCACCUGGGAGCUCACUGAGUUUUCUCUCAGAGGAGCUGCAGUCAGAGUCACAGCAGCACCGUCGAACAUAACACACCGACGGGACAUGGACGUCUGACUGGAGGUCCGCUUGGUUUGGCAUGCAGUCAGUCAGUCAGUCAGUCAGUACAGUUAAUGUGUGAGAUAAUAUGUAAGUCAUUAAGGUUUAGCGUAACAGUAUAAACACAGCCAGGAGCUGGGAGUCCUGCCUCCAGAGAGCCAGAGAAUAUAAACAAGGUCAAAUGAUGAUAACAAAGAAAAAACUCAGAGGGAGGUCACUGCAGAUCAUCAGAACUCUGACUUUUAAUGUGUCUUAAUGUUUUAAUAUUAUGUUUAAAAUGUACCUUUCUUCUUUACUGAAUGAGGAGAUUCUCCAGGUAAAAACUGUAUUAUUAGGUUAUGUUGCAUCUCUUCUCCUUAAAAACACUAUUAUGAUAGUGAAGUAAUCACUUUAAAAAUGUUUGUCGGGUCCAAAUUUUUUGUUUUGUUGAUGUGUGCGUCAGAAUUCUGACAACUGGUUCCAGUUUGUGAUCUGACAGUAUAAUAAUGUUUGGUAUCUGUGUCUUGGUAGUUUUCCAGUUUGUGGAAAAGUCAGUAAAACUUGAGUGAGUUCUGCAGUGUGAGCCCAGAACACUGUAGUGUCAUAUUGUUAGCUAGCUAGCAUUAGUUUUAUUAACAGUUUUUUAUUAGCAGUAUUAAGUAAGGCGCUGUCAUGGCUCCUCUGUGACCUCACGGAACAGAGACAUAUUGAGCCAUGAAUCACACAUACGAUGUUUGUCAAUUUAAAAGAUAAUCUUCCGAGUCAAGAAUGUCACCAUUUGUCAUCAUUUAAGUACCCGUCUUGUAUAAAGAGCUCUGAUCGCUGCACUGUGGAUCACAGGCGUUACCAGUACGUCCUGGUCUGGCCUUCCUACUCUGACAAGGGAACACUGGUGUGAUGAUCCAGGAGGACUGAACUAUUUUCAUUUUCACUGAACUGAACCAAGAAACUGAACUGUUGACUGUGUUUCUAGAAUGGAGAUCUUGUGGAGGAUGUUUUUUGGGCUGUUCACCCGCUGGAACACUUUCGCACAUUAUCACACACCUGAUUCACCAACUCUUCAA